UACGAAGGGGGCAAGCGUUGUUCGGAAUUACUGGGCGUAAAGGGCGCGUAGGCGGCUUAUCAAGUCAGGCGUGAAAUUCCCGGGCUCAACCUGGGGGCUGCGCUUGAUACUGAUGAGCUUGAAUGCGGGAGAGGAUAGUGGAAUUCCCAGUGUAGUGGUGAAAUACGUAGAGAUUGGGAAGAACACCAGUGGCGAAGGCGGCUAUCUGGACGGUUUCUGACGCUAAGACGCGAAAGCGUGGGGAGCAAACAGG
rnacentral:rRNA from 1 species